GGUUAAGUGACUAAGCGUACACGGUGGAUGCCUGGGCAGUCAGAGGCGAUGAAGGACGUACUAACUUGCGAUAAGCGCAGAUAAGGCAGUAAGAGCCGUUUGAGUCUGCGAUUUCCGAAUGGGGAAACCCAACUGCAUAAGCAGUUACUGUUAACUGAAUACAUAGGUUAACAGAGCAAACCGGGGGAACUGAAACAUCUAAGUACCCCGAGGAGAAGAAAUCAACCGAGAUUCCGGUAGUAGCGGCGAGCGAACCUGGAUUAGCCCUUAAGCACUCGGUGAAGUAGGUGAACAAGCUGGAAAGCUUGGCGAUACAGGGUGAUAGCCCCGUAACCGACGCUUCAUCGAGCGUGAAAUCGAGUAGGGCGGGACACGUGAUAUCCUGUCUGAAUAUGGGGGGACCAUCCUCCAAGGCUAAAUACUCCUGACUGACCGAUAGUGAACCAGUACCGUGAGGGAAAGGCGAAAAGAACCCCUGUGAGGGGAGUGAAAUAGAACCUGAAACCGUGUACGUACAAGCAGUAGGAGCACCUUCGUGGUGUGACUGCGUACCUUUUGUAUAAUGGGUCAGCGACUUAUAUUCAGUGGCAAGGUUAACCGUAUAGGGGAGCCGUAGCGAAAGCGAGUCUUAACUGGGCGCUCAGUCUCUGGAUAUAGACCCGAAACCGGGUGAUCUAGCCAUGGGCAGGUUGAAGGUUGAGUAACAUCAACUGGAGGACCGAACCGACUAAUGUUGAAAAAUUAGCGGAUGACUUGUGGCUAGGGGUGAAAGGCCAAUCAAACUCGGAGAUAGCUGGUUCUCCCCGAAAGCUAUUUAGGUAGCGCCUCGGACGAAUACUACUGGGGGUAGAGCACUGUUAAGGCUAGGGGGUCAUCCCGACUUACCAACCCUUUGCAAACUCCGAAUACCAGUAAGUACUAUCCGGGAGACACACGGCGGGUGCUAACGUCCGUCGUGGAGAGGGAAACAACCCAGACCGCCAGCUAAGGUCCCAAAGUAUUGCUAAGUGGGAAACGAUGUGGGAAGGCUCAGACAGCUAGGAUGUUGGCUUAGAAGCAGCCAUCAUUUAAAGAAAGCGUAAUAGCUCACUAGUCGAGUCGGCCUGCGCGGAAGAUGUAACGGGGCUAAGCAAUACACCGAAGCUGCGGCAAUGUCUUUUAGACAUUGGGUAGGGGAGCGUUCUGUAAGCCGUUGAAGGUGAAUCGUAAGGUUUGCUGGAGGUAUCAGAAGUGCGAAUGCUGACAUGAGUAACGACAAAGGGGGUGAAAAACCUCCUCGCCGGAAGACCAAGGGUUCCUGUCCAACGUUAAUCGGGGCAGGGUGAGUCGACCCCUAAGGUGAGGCCGAAAGGCGUAAUCGAUGGGAAACGGGUUAAUAUUCCCGUACUUCUGACUAUUGCGAUGGGGGGACGGAGAAGGCUAGGUGGGCCAGGCGACGGUUGUCCUGGUUCAAGUGCGUAGGCUUGAGAGUUAGGUAAAUCCGGCUCUCUCUAAGGCUGAGACACGACGUCGAGCUACUACGGUAGUGAAGUCAUUGAUGCCAUGCUUCCAGGAAAAGCCUCUAAGCUUCAGAUAGUCAGGAAUCGUACCCCAAACCGACACAGGUGGUCGGGUAGAGAAUACCAAGGCGCUUGAGAGAACUCGGGUGAAGGAACUAGGCAAAAUGGUACCGUAACUUCGGGAGAAGGUACGCUCUUGAUGGUGAAGUCCCUCGCGGAUGGAGCUGACGAGAGUCGCAGAUACCAGGUGGCUGCAACUGUUUAUUAAAAACACAGCACUGUGCAAAAUCGCAAGAUGACGUAUACGGUGUGACGCCUGCCCGGUGCCGGAAGGUUAAUUGAUGGGGUUAGCGCAAGCGAAGCUCUUGAUCGAAGCCCCGGUAAACGGCGGCCGUAACUAUAACGGUCCUAAGGUAGCGAAAUUCCUUGUCGGGUAAGUUCCGACCUGCACGAAUGGCGUAAUGAUGGCCACGCUGUCUCCACCCGAGACUCAGUGAAAUUGAAAUCGCUGUGAAGAUGCAGUGUACCCGCGGCUAGACGGAAAGACCCCGUGAACCUUUACUACAGCUUGGCACUGAACAUUGAACCUACAUGUGUAGGAUAGGUGGGAGGCUAUGAAGACGUGACGCCAGUUGCGUUGGAGCCGUCCUUGAAAUACCACCCUUGUAUGUUUGAUGUUCUAACUUAGACCCAUUAUCUGGGUUGAGGACAGUGCCUGGUGGGUAGUUUGACUGGGGCGGUCUCCUCCCAAAGAGUAACGGAGGAGCACGAAGGUGGGCUAAUCACGGUUGGACAUCGUGAGGUUAGUGCAAUGGCAUAAGCCCGCUUAACUGCGAGAAUGACGGUUCGAGCAGGUGCGAAAGCAGGUCAUAGUGAUCCGGUGGUUCUGUAUGGAAGGGCCAUCGCUCAACGGAUAAAAGGUACUCCGGGGAUAACAGGCUGAUACCGCCCAAGAGUUCAUAUCGACGGCGGUGUUUGGCACCUCGAUGUCGGCUCAUCACAUCCUGGGGCUGAAGUCGGUCCCAAGGGUAUGGCUGUUCGCCAUUUAAAGUGGUACGCGAGCUGGGUUUAGAACGUCGUGAGACAGUUCGGUCCCUAUCUGCCGUGGGCGUUGGAAGAUUGAAGGGGGCUGCUCCUAGUACGAGAGGACCGGAGUGGACGAACCUCUGGUGUUCGGGUUGUGUCGCCAGACGCAUUGCCCGGUAGCUAAGUUCGGAAUUGAUAAGCGCUGAAAGCAUCUAAGCGCGAAGCGAGC
rnacentral:rRNA from 1 species